rnacentral:rRNA from 1 species
AACGAACGCUGGCGGCAGGCCUAACACAUGCAAGUCGAGCGCGUGUAGCAAUACACGAGCGGCGCACGGGUGAGUAACGCGUGGGAAUCUGCCCUACAGUGGGGAACAACCACGGGAAACUGUGGCUAAAUACCGCAUACGUCCUUCGGGAGAAAGGCUUCGGCCGCUGUAGGAGGAGCCCGCGUCCGAUUAGCUAGUUGGUGAGGUAAUGGCUCACCAAGGCGACGAUCGGUAACUGGUCUGAGAGGACGACCAGUCACACUGGGACUGAGACACGGCCCAGACUCCUACGGGAGGCAGCAGUGGGGAGUAUUGGACAAUGGGGGAAACCCUGAUCCAGCCAUGCCGCGUGAGUGAUGAAGGCCUUCGGGUUGUAAAGCUCUUUUAGCGGGGAAGAUAAUGACGGUACCCGCAGAAUAAGCCCCGGCUAACUUCGUGCCAGCAGCCGCGGUAAGACGAAGGGGGCUAGCGUUGUUCGGAAUUACUGGGCGUAAAGGGCGCGCAGGCGGCUUUGCAAGUCAGGCGUUAAAGACCCAGGCUCAACCUGGGGAAUGCGCUUGAUACUGCAGAGCUUGAGAUCGGAAGAGGAGAGUGGAAUUCCCAGUGUAGAGGUGAAAUUCGUAGAUAUUGGGAAGAACACCAGUGGCGAAGGGCGGCUCUCUGUCCGAUC